rnacentral:rRNA from 1 species
GAUGAACGCUGGCGGCGUGCCUAAUACAUGCAAGUCAAGCGAACGGACGAGAAGCUUGCUUCUCUGAUGUUAGCGGCGGACGGGUGAGUAACACGUGGAUAACCUACCUAUAAGACUGGGAUAACUUCGGGAAACCGUAGCUAAUACCGGAUAAUAUUUUGAACCGCAUGGUUCAAAAGUGAAAGACGGUCUUGCUGUCACUUAUAGAUGGAUCCGCGCUGCAUUAGCUAGUUGGUAAGGUAACGGCUUACCAAGGCAACGAUGCAUAGCCGACCUGAGAGGGUGAUCGGCCACACUGGAACUGAGACACGGUCCAGACUCCUACGGGAGGCAGCAGUAGGGAAUCUUCCGCAAAGGGCGAAAGCCUGACGGAGCAACGCCGCGUGAGUGAUGAAGGUCUUCGGAUCGUAAAACUCUGUUAUUAGGGAAGAACAUAUGUGUAAGUAACUGUGCACAUCUUGACGGUACCUAAUCAGAAAGCCACGGCUAACUACGUG